rnacentral:rRNA from 1 species
GGACGAACGCUGGCGGCACGCCUAACACAUGCAAGUCGAACGGAGAUAUUUGGUUACUGAGAUAUCUUAGUGGCGGACGGGUGAGUAACACGUGAGCAACCUGCCUUUGGGAGAGGGAUAGCUUCUGGAAACGGAUGGUAAUACCUCAUAACGUAUACUUAAGGCAUCUUAGGUAUACCAAAGAUUUAUCACUCAAAGAUGGGCUCGCGUCUGAUUAGAUAGUUGGUGAGGUAACGGCUCACCCAAGUCGACGAUCAGUAGCCGGACUGAGAGGUUGAACGGCCACAUUGGGACUGAGACACGGCCCAGACUCCUACGGGAGGCAGCAGUGGGGAAUAUUGCACAAUGGGGGAAACCCUGAAUGCAGCGAUGCCGCGUGGAGGAAGAAGGUUUUCGGAUUGUAAACUCCUGUCUUAAAGGACGAUAAUGACGGUACCUUAGGAGGAAGCUCCGGCUAACUACGUGCCAGCCGCUGC